UGGGGAAUAUUGCACAAUGGGCGCAAGCCUGAUGCAGCCAUGCCGCGUGUAUGAAGAAGGCCUUCGGGUUGUAAAGUACUUUCAGCGGGGAGGAAGGGAGUAAAGUUAAUACCUUUGCUCAUUGACGUUACCCGCAGAAGAAGCACCGGCUACUCCGUGCCAGCAGCCGCGGUAAUACGGAGGGUGCAAGCGUUAAUCGGAAUUACUGGGCGUAAAGCGCACGCAGGCGGUUUGUUAAGUCAGAUGUGAAAUCCUCGGGCUCAACCUGGGAACUGCAUCUGAUACUGGCAAGCUUGAGUCUCGUAGAGGGGGGUAGAAUUCCAGGUGUAGCGGUGAAAUGCGUAGAGAUCUGGAGGAAUACCGGUGGCGAAGGCGGCCCCCUGGACGAAGACUGACGCUCAGGUGCGAAAGCGUGGGGAGCAAACAGG
rnacentral:rRNA from 1 species